rnacentral:rRNA from 1 species
ACGAACGCUGGCGGCGUGCUUAACACAUGCAAGUCGAACGGUGAAGCGCCUUCCUUUUUGGUGGGUGUGGAUGAGUGGCGAACGGGUGAGUAACACGUGAGUAACCUGCCCCCUUCUUCUGGAUAACCGCAUGAAAGUGUGGCUAAUACGGGAUAUUCUGGGUCUGUCGCAUGAUGGGUCUGGGAAAGAUAUUGUUUCGGUGGGGGAUGGGCUCGCGGCCUAUCAGCUUGUUGGUGGGUGAUGGCCUACCAAGGCGGUGACGGGUAGCCGGCCUGAGAGGGUGGACGGUCACACUGGGACCGAGACACGGCCCAGACUCCUACGGGAGGCAGCAGUGGGGAAUAUUGCACAAUGGGCGCAAGCCUGAUGCAGCGACGCCGCGUGAGGGAUGGAGGCCUUCGGGUUGUGAACCUCUUUCGCCAGUGAAGCAGGCCUGCCUCGUUUGUGGGUGGGUUGACGGUAGCUGGAUAAGAAGCGCCGGCUAACUACGUG